rnacentral:misc_RNA from 1 species
CUUAUACUGGUCAACUAAACAUCAGGCACAAACAGUUUUAUACACAGCAAAACAGUCACACUGCUUAUGGAGUUUAGGUAUGGCAGCAGCCAUUAUUAUUAUUACCUAGCUACUCAUAAACAUUAAGGACAAUAUGGAUGGGCAUAUUGCACAGUUCAGUUGUUAGGGAUUUGAACUAUCAAACAAGAAACAUAGUGAUAAUGGACUGUGAAGCUAAGCACAAAGCUGAUAUAAGAUGAAGUUCCAAACCUAUAAUCACGGUAGAUCUCUG